UAUGGGCUUCCCCUUCUUUGGGGAAACCUUGCAGAUGGUACUGCAGCGGAGGAAGUUCCUGCAGAUGAAGCGCAGGAAAUACGGCUUCAUCUACAAGACGCAUCUGUUCGGGCGGCCCACCGUACGGGUGAUGGGCGCGGACAAUGUGCGGCGCAUCUUGCUCGGAGAGCACCGGCUGGUGUCGGUCCACUGGCCAGCGUCGGUGCGCACCAUUCUGGGAUCUGGCUGCCUCUCUAACCUGCACGACUCCUCGCACAAGCAGCGCAAGAAGGUGAUUAUGCGGGCCUUUAGCCGCGAGGCACUCGAAUGCUACGUGCCGGUGAUCACCGAGGAAGUGGGCAGCAGCCUGGAGCAGUGGCUGAGCUGCGGCGAGCGCGGCCUCCUGGUCUACCCCGAGGUGAAGCGCCUCAUGUUCCGAAUCGCCAUGCGCAUCCUUCUGGGCUGCGAACCCCAACUGGCGGGCGACGGGGACUCCGAGCAGCAGCUUGUGGAGGCCUUCGAGGAAAUGACCCGCAAUCUCUUCUCGCUGCCCAUCGACGUGCCCUUCAGCGGGCUGUACCGGGUAAGGGCGGCAAACGGGCUGCGGACUAGGGGCGCGGGACCUGGGCGUCUGCUCACCGCCGCGCGCUCUCUGCGCUCAGGGCAUGAAGGCGCGGAACCUCAUUCACGCGCGCAUCGAGCAGAACAUUCGCGCCAAGAUCUGCGGGCUGCGGACAUCCGAGGCGGGCCAGGGCUGCAAAGACGCGCUGCAGCUGUUGAUCGAGCACU
rnacentral:sRNA from 1 species